AGCAGCCGCGGUAAUUCCAGCUCCAAUAGCGUAUAUUAAAGUUGUUGCAGUUAAAAAGCUCGUAGUUGAAUUUCGGGAUUGGCGUAUCGGUCGUGCCUCACGGGGUAUGAACUGGUGCAGUCAAUUUCUCACCUUCUGGAGAACCGCGAUGUCCUUAAUUGGAUGCCGCGGGGAACCAGGACCUUUACUUUGAAAAAAUUAGAGUGUUUAAAGCAGGCAUUUUUGCUUGAAUACAUUAGCAUGGAAUAAUAAAAUAGGACGGCAUGGUUCUAUUUUGUUGGUUUCUAGGACCACCGUAAUGAUUAAUAGGGAUAGUUGGGGGCAUUAGUAUUCAAUUGUCAGAGGUGAAAUUCUUGGAUUUAUUGAAGACUAACUACUGCGAAAGCAUUUGCCAAGGAUGUUUUCAUUAAUCAAGAACGAAAGUUAGGGGAUCGAAGACGAUCAGAUACCGUCGUAGUCUUAACCAUAAACUAUGCCGACUAGGAAUCAGACGAUGUUAAUUUUUUAAUGACUCGUUUGG
rnacentral:misc_RNA from 1 species